AUGAGCUGCAGCAGGGCUGCCCGUGUCCAAGCCCCCCAGCCCUGCCCAUCUUCCACUUCCCCAAAUGAAUCGCUUUUUCUUUUCCCUUCUCCAGCUGCCGAAGCAGCAACAGGAAGAGCCUGGUGGUGGGAACUCCAUCUCCAACCCUCUCGCGCCCUCUCUCCCCUCUCUCAGUGCCCACAGCUGGGAGCAGCCCCUUGGACAGCCCUCGCAACUUCUCCGCCAGCACCUCCAUCAACUUCCCCUUCGCCCGCAGCCAUGCUCCUCGGACUGACAGGGCUGAUGGCAGAAGGUGGUCACUGGCUUCGCUCCCCUCAUCUGGCUAUGGGACCAACACCCCCAGCUCCACCGUCUCGUCAUCCUCAUCCUCCCAAGAGCGGCUGCACCAGCUGCCAUACCAGCCCACCCCCGAUGAGCUGCAUUUCCUCUCCAAACACUUCCGCAGCACUGAGAGCGUCACAGAUGAGGAGGGGCGGCACUCGCCCUGUCUGCGCCCACGAUCCCGGAGCCUGAGGUACAGAGACCACCCACAUGAACCAGGUCCUGCUUGCCACCUUCUCGUGAGCUGUUCUGUGACAUUAAGGUCCUGCUUGGCCGUACCCUUGGCACUGACCUCGAUGCAGUUUUUUCCCUAGCAGGGAUAGCGGUAAAACUCCAUGCUUUUGCACACUAGGCUCUGCUUUUCGGUAGUGUGUGGCUGCUGGGAUGUGUCAGAGGAUGCCUAAGGGUGAGAUUCCAUGGGCUGAGGUUGGAGAAAGUGGGAUUUGUUCCAAAAUAGCCCUUUUCUGCCAUAAGCAGUCAGCAACCUGUCCGUGCAGGAAGCCUUUUUCUGAACGUUCCCAUGUCCGCUGCGGGGCGGCUGGGGUUUGGUUGGGCUCUCUCUGCUGUGGGCUGCCAAA
rnacentral:lncRNA from 1 species